AACGAACGCUGGCGGCAGGCUUAACACAUGCAAGUCGAACGCACCUUUCGGGGUGAGUGGCAGACGGGUGAGUAACGCGUGGGAAUCUACCCUUCUCUACGGGAUAGCUCCGGGAAACUGGAAUUAAUACCGUAUACGUCCUGAGGGAGAAAGAUUUAUCGGGGAAGGAUGAGCCCGCGUUGGAUUAGCUAGUUGGUGGGGUAAAGGCCUACCAAGGCGACGAUCCAUAGCUGGUCUAAGAGGAUCAUCAGCCACAUUGGGACUGAGACACGGCCCAAACUCCUACGGGAGGCAGCAGUGGGGAAUAUUGGACAAUGGGCGCAAGCCUGAUCCAGCCAUGCCGCGUGAGUGAUGAAGGCCCUAGGGUUGUAAAGCUCUUUCAGUGGGGACGAUAAUGACGGUACCCACAGAAGAAGCCCCGGCUAACUUCGUG
rnacentral:rRNA from 1 species